rnacentral:rRNA from 1 species
UACGUAGGGGGCUAGCGUUGUCCGGAAUCAUUGGGCGUAAAGCGCGCGUAGGCGGCCCGGUAAGUCCGUUGUGAAAGUCAAAGGCUCAACCUUUGAAAGCCGAUGGAUACUGCCGGGCUAGAGUCCGGAAGAGGCGAGUGGAAUUCCUGGUGUAGCGGUGGAAUGCGCAGAUAUCAGGAAGAACACCCGUGGCGAAGGCGGCUCUCUGGGACGGUACUGACGCUGAGACGCGAAAGCGUGGGGAGCGAACAGG